GGCGCCAGAGCCGGGGCUGCCCGCCACGCGCUUCCUGCGCCGCCCGAGGGAGCAGCGGGGUAGCCCUAGGAAGAAUCUGGAAAAGCAAGAAGUCCAGCUGAAUAUAUAAUUCAUCAACAUGUUUGGAGUUUGAGCAUACUCAUUCAAAUUACACAUAUACGCGUGGACACAGAACAUAAUGUUUUUUCACUGGCCUGGCUGGCUUUUCAGCAGCUCUUCCAGUUGCAAGCUGCAGAUGUUUCAACGCUACUCCUAUCAUCUCUGUCCCAGAGGCUAGCACAGAUAAGAAGGCGAAAAAACCGCACUUGUGAUGAAAUGUUCUCUGAGCUCAUGCAGUUCUUCCGCACUGAAGGAGCUCAGCAGAAUGUGUGGAGGCAAACAACAUGAGAGUCCAGGAAAGCAGAAAAUGAACGUGAGGACAGGAGGGAUGAAUGAGAUGAGAGGUGGCGGCAGCGCGAUGAGCAGAAUGCAAUGCUAAGGCUACUGGGGGAUCAAACUGAUAUGCUCCAGCAUCUGGUGGAGCUGCAGGAAAGGCAGCAGGAGCACAGACUGCCAUUGCUGCCCCUGUGUAACUGCCCACCCUCUUCCCCAAGCUCCAUUGCCUCCUCACCCAGAUGCCCAAGAAUGUGGGGGGAGAGGGGAAGCCUCCGGGCACCCAACCACUCCACCGAAGAGGGCUGCCUAAGCAACAGAAGGCUGGCAUUCAAUAAGUUUUGAAGUGCAGUGUGGCCUUGUCCUUCCCUCCUCCCUUCAUCCACCACCCUGCCCGGUGCUUCCCUCCUCCCCCAUCCCUCCCAGGCUACCUUGGCAGUUAUCCUCCUAUUUGUGUAACGAAUUAAUAAAGAAUGCAUGAUU